GCAAGACCAUUUCCCCUUUCCCCUAUUCUCCAUCAGCAUUUCAUUUCUGGUUCCACACUAGCCACCCUUCUACCAGCACCAGAAAAUGUUUUCUCAAGCCCACACAAACUCAGCAUCUUCAGUGUGAUGCUUGAGGACAGUUAUGUGGAAAUCCCCAGGAAAAUCCUCCUCAUGUCACGCUUAAAAUUUCAGUGUUACUAGUAUGUGUGUCUCUGUGUACUCACCGUGCCAUAACCUUCAGAGGAGUAAAGCAUGGAGAGAACUAUUUUCUGAGCAAAAUAAUGUCUUUAAAUUGUCAAAAGCUUUUUAAAGGAUCAUGUUUCACACGAUGGAUAUUAUUAAAACAUCUUCAUCAGGGAAUGAAAAAAAAACCUAAGAAUUUGGGGCUGAUAAAGACUUGA
rnacentral:lncRNA from 14 species